rnacentral:piRNA from 1 species
UGAAAAGAGUUCUAGAUCACCAACACUGAUA